rnacentral:rRNA from 1 species
UUAAGCGACUAAGCGUACACGGUGGAUGCCCUGGCAGUCAGAGGCGAUGAAGGACGUGCUAAUCUGCGAUAAGCGCCGGUAAGGUGAUAUGAACCGUUAUAACCGGCGAUUUCCGAAUGGGGAAACCCAGUGUGAUUCGUCACACUAUCAUUAACUGAAUCCAUAGGUUAAUGAGGCGAACCGGGGGAACUGAAACAUCUAAGUACCCCGAGGAAAAGAAAUCAACCGAGAUUCCCCCAGUAGCGGCGAGCGAACGGGGAGGAGCCCAGAGCCUGAAUCAGCAUGUGUGUUAGUGGAAGCGUCUGGAAAGGCGCGCGAUACAGGGUGACAGCCCCGUACACAAAAGCGCAUGUGCUGUGAGCUCGAUGAGUAGGGCGGGACACGUGGUAUCCUGUCUGAAUAUGGGGGGGACCAUCCUCCAAGGCUAAAUACUCCUGACUGACCGAUAGUGAACCAGUACCGUGAGGGAAAGGCGAAAAGAACCCCGGCGAGGGGAGUGAAAAAGAACCUGAAACCGUGUACGUACAAGCAGUGGGAGCACAGGUUUACCUGUGUGACUGCGUACCUUUUGUAUAAUGGGUCAGCGACUUAUAUUCUGUAGCAAGGUUAACCGUAUAGGGGAGCCGGAGGGAAACCGAGUCUUAAUUGGGCGUUAAGUUGCAGGGUAUAGACCCGAAACCCGGUGAUCUAGCCAUGGGCAGGUUGAAGGUUGGGUAACACUAACUGGAGGACCGAACCGACUAAUGUUGAAAAAUUAGCGGAUGACCUGUGGCUGGGGGUGAAAGGCCAAUCAAACCGGGAGAUAGCUGGUUCUCCCCGAAAGCUAUUUAGGUAGCGCCUCGUGAAUUCAUCUCCGGGGGUAGAGCACUGUUUCGGCUAGGGGGCCAUCCCGGCUUACCAACCCGAUGCAAACUGCGAAUACCGGAGAAUGUUAUCACGGGAGACACACGGCGGGUGCUAACGUCCGUCGUGAAGAGGGAAACAACCCAGACCGCCAGCUAAGGUCCCAAAGUCAUGGUUAAGUGGGAAACGAUGUGGGAAGGCCCAGACAGCCAGGAUGUUGGCUUAGAAGCAGCCAUCAUUUAAAGAAAGCGUAAUAGCUCACUGGUCGAGUCGGCCUGCGCGGAAGAUGUAACGGGGCUAAACCAUGCACCGAAGCUGCGGCAGCGAACGUAUCACCCAAGACAACUUUACGGAGUUGACGAUUGACGGAGCGAAGCGACGUCAAAGCGUUCAUUAAAGUCGAGUUGGCUUAGGGAUACGUUCGUUGGGUAGGGGAGCGUUCUGUAAGCCUGUGAAGGUGUGUCGUGAGGCAUGCUGGAGGUAUCAGAAGUGCGAAUGCUGACAUAAGUAACGAUAAAGCGGGUGAAAAGCCCGCUCGCCGGAAGACCAAGGGUUCCUGUCCAACGUUAAUCGGGGCAGGGUGAGUCGACCCCUAAGGCGAGGCCGAAAGGCGUAGUCGAUGGGAAACGGGUUAAUAUUCCCGUACUUGGUGUUACUGCGAAGGGGGGACGGAGAAGGCUAUGUUGGCCGGGCGACGGUUGUCCCGGUUUAAGCGUGUAGGUGUGUGUUCCAGGUAAAUCCGGUUCACUUUAACACUGAGGCGUGACGACGAGGCACUACGGUGCUGAAGCAACAAAUGCCCUGCUUCCAGGAAAAGCCUCUAAGCAUCAGGUAACACGAAAUCGUACCCCAAACCGACACAGGUGGUCAGGUAGAGAAUACCAAGGCGCUUGAGAGAACUCGGGUGAAGGAACUAGGCAAAAUGGUGCCGUAACUUCGGGAGAAGGCACGCUGACACGUAGGUGAAGUGAUUUACUCAUGGAGCUGAAGUCAGUCGAAGAUACCAGCUGGCUGCAACUGUUUAUUAAAAACACAGCACUGUGCAAACACGAAAGUGGACGUAUACGGUGUGACGCCUGCCCGGUGCCGGAAGGUUAAUUGAUGGGGUCAGCGCAAGCGAAGCUCCUGAUCGAAGCCCCGGUAAACGGCGGCCGUAACUAUAACGGUCCUAAGGUAGCGAAAUUCCUUGUCGGGUAAGUUCCGACCUGCACGAAUGGCGUAAUGAUGGCCAGGCUGUCUCCACCCGAGACUCAGUGAAAUUGAACUCGCUGUGAAGAUGCAGUGUACCCGCGGCAAGACGGAAAGACCCCGUGAACCUUUACUAUAGCUUGACACUGAACAUUGAGCCUUGAUGUGUAGGAUAGGUGGGAGGCUUUGAAGUGUGGACGCCAGUCUGCAUGGAGCCGACCUUGAAAUACCACCCUUUAAUGUUUGAUGUUCUAACGUGGACCCGUAAUCCGGGUUGCGGACAGUGUCUGGUGGGUAGUUUGACUGGGGCGGUCUCCUCCUAAAGAGUAACGGAGGAGCACGAAGGUUGGCUAAUCCUGGUCGGACAUCAGGAGGUUAGUGCAAUGGCAUAAGCCAGCUUGACUGCGAGCGUGACGGCGCGAGCAGGUGCGAAAGCAGGUCAUAGUGAUCCGGUGGUUCUGAAUGGAAGGGCCAUCGCUCAACGGAUAAAAGGUACUCCGGGGAUAACAGGCUGAUACCGCCCAAGAGUUCAUAUCGACGGCGGUGUUUGGCACCUCGAUGUCGGCUCAUCACAUCCUGGGGCUGAAGUAGGUCCCAAGGGUAUGGCUGUUCGCCAUUUAAAGUGGUACGCGAGCUGGGUUUAGAACGUCGUGAGACAGUUCGGUCCCUAUCUGCCGUGGGCGCUGGAGAACUGAGGGGGGCUGCUCCUAGUACGAGAGGACCGGAGUGGACGCAUCACUGGUGUUCGGGUUGUCAUGCCAAUGGCACUGCCCGGUAGCUAAAUGCGGAAGAGAUAAGUGCUGAAAGCAUCUAAGCACGAAACUUGCCCCGAGAUGAGUUCUCCCUGAGACUUAGAGUCUCCUGAAGGAACGUUGAAGACGACGACGUUGAUAGGCCGGGUGUGUAAGCGCAGCGAUGCGUUGAGCUAACCGGUACUAAUGAACCGUGAGGCUUAACCUU